UACGAAGGGGGCUAGCGUUGCUCGGAAUCACUGGGCGUAAAGCGCACGUAGGCGGACUCUUAAGUCGGUGGUGAAAUCCUGGAGCUCAACCCCGGAACUGCCUUUGAUACUGGGUAUCUUUGAGUCCGGAAGAGGUGAGUGGAAUUCCGAGUGUAGAGGUGAAAUUCGUAGAUAUUCGGAGGAACACCAGUGGCGAAGGCGGCUCACUGGUCCGGUACUGACGCUGAGGUGCGAAAGCGUGGGGAGCAAACAGG
rnacentral:rRNA from 1 species